rnacentral:rRNA from 1 species
AUUGAACGCUGGCGGCAGGCCUAACACAUGCAAGUCGAGCGGAGCGGCGGACGGGUGAGUAAUGCCUAGGAAUCUGCCUGGUAGUGGGGGAUAACGUCCGGAAACGGGCGCUAAUACCGCAUACUAUCAGAUGAGCCUAGGUCGGAGUAGCUAGUUGGUGGGGUAAAGGCCUACCAAGGCGACGAUCCAUAACUGUUCUGAGAGGAUGAGCAGUCACAUUGGGACUGCGACACGGCCCAGACUCCUACGGGUGGCAGAAGUGGGGAAUCUUCCGCAAUGGACGAAAGUCUGACGGAGCAACGCCGCGUGAGUUAUGACGGCCCUCCGUGUGUAAAGCUCUGUUAAUCGGGACGCGGGACCGGAAUAGAAAGCCACGGCUAACUACGUGCCAGCCGCCGCGGUAAUUC